AUUAAAUUUAAUUAAUAUUAAGAUGCAAAAACUUAUUUUUAUUGUUUAGAAAAUGAGUAGCGGUCCCUUUGUUGCUGUUGAGUUUGUUAAUGAGCAACCAGUGGAGGUAAUGCCAAAAAGAUGGAUUGUUUAUGAGAGCUAGCACAACUGCUUGGUUAUUGGCCCAGAAAGGAACCAGUGUGCAGAAUCAAAAUGAGUGAAUUACCUGAUCAAAAGUGGCUACUAUACAAAAUUAGAACUUUUGGGGCCGUAGUGGAAUUUUAUACCAAAGCAUCAGAUUUAGCUAAGAGAGCAUAGUAAUGUCAAAUGUGGAAGAUACUGAUAUAAACAAAGAGACUUCUUCUGAUAUUGAAGAUGGUAUGUAGUUGGAUAAAUUAUAUACUGUAGCAUGAUUUUACUUACACUAGUAUUUAUAA